rnacentral:rRNA from 1 species
UACGGGGGGGGCACGCGUUGUUCGGAGUUACUGGGCGUAAAGGGUGCGUAGGCGGCUUCUUAAGUCUGGUGUGAAAUCUCCCGGCUCAACUGGGAGGGUGCGCCGGAUACUGAGGGGCUAGAGUGUGGGAGAGGAAAGUGGAAUUCCUGGUGUAGCGGUGAAAUGCGUAGAUAUCAGGAGGAACACCGGUGGUGUAAACGGCUUUCUGGACCAUAACUGACGCUGAGGCACGAAAGCGUGGGUAGCAAACAGG